GGCUAUAGGAGCAGCAGUAGCAGCAGCAGCAUCGGUCACAUAUUAAGUUGGGCAAAGAAGAAACUGAACCGCGGGUCGAACGGUUGGAAGCAAAACACACGCUACAGGGCAUGGCCGGAAGGAAGAGGGAUGUGAAACCAGCGCACCAAACCCUCCGGAAGAGGGGUGAAACUACGACUGCAUAAAACUGGUUUUAAGUUUCGGAGGAGAGUAUGUAACCCGCCUCCAGCAAUGCACAGAAGUAAUAGGCAGGGAGGGGGAGUCACAAAAGGUUGGAAAACUUUAUGGGAAGGAAAGUGUGUAAGAAAAGGUAGCGAGCCGAUUAGCCAAAAGAUAAAUGAAAGCUAUUCAAUAGAAAUAAAAUACAAUACAACGCCCUUUCCCCUAACAAAAAAAAAAAAAA